rnacentral:tRNA from 1 species
UCCAAGGUGGCAGAAAAGUGCAUUAGAUUUAAAAUCUAAAUAUAAGAUUAGUUAAAAACUAGCUUCUUUGGUC